rnacentral:rRNA from 1 species
UAAGUGCCCCGCCUGGGGAGUACGGCCGCAAGGCUAAAACUCAAAGGAAUUGACGGGGGCCCGCACAAGCGGCGGAGCAUGCGGAUUAAUUCGAUGCAACGCGAAGAACCUUACCAAGGCUUGACAUGUGCCAGACCGCCGUGGAAACACGGUUUCCCCUUUGGGGCUGGUUCACAGGUGGUGCAUGGUUGUCGUCAGCUCGUGUCGUGAGAUGUUGGGUUAAGUCCCGCAACGAGCGCAACCCUCGUUCCAUGUUGCCAGCGCGUAAAGGCGGGGACUCAUGGGAGACUGCCGGGGUCAACUCGGAGGAAGGUGGGGACGACGUCAAAUCAUCAUGCCCCUUAUGUCUUGGGCUUCACGCAUGCUACAAUGGCCGGUACAAUGGGUUGCGAUACUGUGAGGUGGAGCUAAUCCCAAAAAGCCGGUCUCAGUUCGGAUUGGGGUCUGCAACUCGACCCCAUGAAGUCGGAGUCGCUAGUAAUCGCAGAUCAGCAACGCUGCGGUGAAUACGUUCCCGGGCCUUGUACACACCGCCC